rnacentral:rRNA from 1 species
AUUGAACUCUGGAGCAAGCGCGAACACAUGCAAGUCGGACUAGUGGCGGACGGGUGAGUAAUGUCUGGGAAACUGCCUGUUGGAGGGGGAUAACUUCUAGAAACUGUAGCUAAUACCGCCUACCAUCGGAUGUACCAACAUGGGAGUAGCUAGUGGGGUGGGGAAAGGCUCACCUAGGCGACAAUCCCUAGGUGGUCUGAGAUGAUGACCAGCAACCUUGGAACUGAGACACGGUCCAGAUUCCUACGGGAGGCAGCAGUGGGGAAGAUAGCACAAUGGGCUCAAGCCUAAGAGAUCCAUGCGGCGGUUAUGAAUAAGGUCUGCGGGUGGUAAAGCAGUUUCAGCGGGGAGGCGUUACCCGUAGAAGAAGCACCGGCUAACUCCGUGCCAGCAGCCGAGGUAAUAU